GAUGAACGCUGACAGAAUGCUUAACACAUGCAAGUCAACUGUGGCGGACGGGUGAGUGACGCGUAAAGAACUUGCCUCACGGAUAGGGACCACCUUUGGAAACGAAUGCUAAUACCUGAUACUGUGAGAGCGCUUUGCGUCCCAUUAGCUCGUUGGGGAGGUAACGGCUCACCAAGGCGAUGAUGGGUAGCCGGCCUGGGAGGGUGAUGGGCCACAAGGGGACUGAGGCACGGCCCUUACUCCUGCGGGAGGCAGGAGGGGGGAAUAUUGAACAAUGGGCCAAAGUCUGAUCCAGGAAUUCUGUGUGCAAGAUGAAGUUGUCGGAAUGUAAAGUGCUUUCAGUUGGGAAGCGGUACCAACAGAAGAAGUGACGGCUAAAUACGUGCCAGCAGCCGCGGUAAUAC
rnacentral:rRNA from 1 species